GGUGGGAUACCCAAGUGGCCAACGGGGGCAGACUGUAAAUCUGCUGGGGCAACCCUUCGGUGGUUCGAAUCCGCCUCCCACCACCA
rnacentral:tRNA from 3 species